CCUCAUUAAGGGCCCAGCACUGCCUCCCUUGCCUCCUGCUGCAACCACCACCAGGAUGCCCUGUUCUCUCCACCAGCACCAUGGAGUCUUCACAAAAGUCAAUUACAGAGGAGGAAGCUCAGCGUCCACCCAGUCUUACAGAAGAGGGCCUGAGACGGAGGUGGGGUGACUGGCCCAGGGUCCACCAGCCAGCCCAGCUGUGACUGGGCAGGAUGCUGGGGCCUUCAGUCUGCUGCAGAGCCCAUCACGUUCCAUCCAGCUGAGUGAGACGGGGGUACACCAAAGUGCUGGAGAGGGAACCCUUAGGAAUCAUUCCACACAAGUUUACUGGGCUGGGUUAUUUAUUGGAGAAUCAUUUCAGAGGCUCCUUUAACAGGAAAUAUGUAGUGGUAAGAGCUCUCCGUGGGUAAGAAACUUCAAUAGUAAUUUACUUCCUUUGAUUUUCCUUCUUCAAAAAGGCCACCCUUUUAAAAAGCCACACACUUCCCUUGGGGUUUGAGGUCCAGAAUCUCUUUCUUAAUUGCUAUGCUUAGAAACCCUCCUUCAAAGGACAUUUGGAAAAAUUAUUUCAUGAUUUUGAAAAAUAAAAUUGUUCCUGGUGACUUCACCGAAGUUUCUGAAAGGAGAAUAAACUAUCACUUAAGAGAGAGUGCUGGGCCGGGCUCAGUGGCUCACACCUGUAAUCCCAGCACUUUGGGAGGCCUAGAGGCAGAUCACCUGAGGUCAGGAGUUUCUAGCCAGGCAGGCGUGCCACAUAGUGGCAUGCACCUCUAAUCCCAGCUACUCGGGAGGCGAAUCACUUGAACCGGGAGGCGGAGGUUGCAGUGAGCCAAGAUCACGCCAUUGCGCUCCAGCCUGGGCGAAAGAGCAAGACUCCAUCUCAAAAAAAAGAGAGAGAGAGAGAGAAUGCGAAUCUUGAGACCAGGACUGCUCAGAGCAGCAGCAGUAGACACCUUCUACCUGAGCAUGCUGUUGCUUCAAGCCCUUCAUCAGUUUAGAAGUAUGUUUUGUGUUUUCCCUAUAGUUUUUUUUCUUUCUGCCAAAUGUUACCUCCCACUAGUAUUUUAAGUCAAAAUUUAAUUUUAUUUUCCUUUAAGACUGGGUUUUUUUUGGCCAAUAUUUAACUAUUGUGAAGUAUCUCUUUGUAAGGUCUUCUGCUAAAAUAAUGCAUUCUAAGCAUCCGGAUUGCAGUUUUUUUUUUUUUAACAUAGAGCGUUUUAGAAGGUACAGUAAGCUCUACAAAACAUUUUCUUUGGAUUGAUUACAUUUUAGGAAGAUGAAGUCUGUUUUCCUGAUUUUUGUUUAAUCGCUUUAUUUCUGAGUGUCUUUAUUGUUACUAUAAACUGACAGUUAUUUUUACUAGUGAGUCUAAUCAAAGAUUAAUGGAGAUCUUGACUUAUUUUAAAGGAAAUAUAUUUUUUAAAUCUAAGGUCUUAGUUCCAAGUCACACAAAUCAUUAUUAGAAUUUAUAACUCUCUAAGGCUUCAACUGUUUCUUCACUUCCUUAUAUAUUUGGUUGCUUUACUUUGAACACAGUAAUUGAUUCUUAUACAAGGAGUCUUUAUCUUAAUAAUCUGCUUAAAAUAAUUUUGAUAAUGUGUAUUUUGUAUAAGAACAAUGAAGAAAAUCAGAAGUUGAAAAGUUGAAUCUUUAAUUUACAAAGACUUAUUUUCUCAUUAGAAUAAUAAAGGAGUGUAUAGAAAUACAGUAAAUGCAAAUCAAAACCACAAUGAGAUACCGUCUCACACCAGUUAGAAUGGCAGUCAUUAAAAAGUCAGGAAACAACAGGUGCUGGAGAGGAUGUGGAGAAAUAGGAACACUUUUACACUGUUGGUGGGACUGUAAACUAGUUCAACCAUUGUGGAAGUCAGUGUGGCGAUUCCUCAGGGAUCUAGAACUAGAGAUACCAUUUGACCCAGCCAUCCCAUUACUGGCUAUAUACCCAAAGGACUAUAAAUCAUGCUGUUAUAAAGACACAUGCACACAUAUGUUUAUUGCGGCACUAUUCACAAUAGCAGAGACUUGGAACCAACCCAAAUGUCCAACAAUGAUAGACUGGAUUAAGAAAAUGUGGCAUACAUACACCAUGGAAUACUAUGCAGCCAUAAAAAAUGAUGAGUUCAUGUCCUUUGUAGGGACAUGGAUGAAAUUGGAAAUCAUCAUUCUCAGUAAACUAUCUCAAGGACAAAAAACCAAACACCGCAUGUUCUCACUCAUAGAUGGGAAUUGAACAAUGAGAACACAUGGACACAGGAAGGGGAACAUCACACUCUGGGGACUGUUGUGUGGUGGGGGGAGGGAUAGUUUUAGGAGAUAUACCUAAUGCUAAAUGACGAGUUAAUGGGUGCAGCAUACCAGCAUGGCACAUGUAUGUAACUAACCUGCACAUUGUGCACAUGUACCCUAAAACUUAAAGUAUUAAAAAAAAAAAAAAGAACACAAGCGAGUGACAGCGCACAAGCUAUUAAGUGGCCACAAAAA